UAUAGAGUGCCUGACUAAAGGAUAAUUUUGAUAGAAUUAAAUAUGUAUUUUUAUACCUCUAUAA
rnacentral:tRNA from 1 species